GACGAACGCUGGCGGCGUGCUUAACACAUGCAAGUCGAACGGAAAGGCCCUGCUUUUGUGGGGUGCUCGAGUGGCGAACGGGUGAGUAACACGUGAGUAACCUGCCCUUGACUUUGGGAUAACUUCAGGAAACUGGGGCUAAUACCGGAUAGGAGCUCCUGCUGCAUGGUGGGGGUUGGAAAGUUUCGGCGGUUGGGGAUGGACUCGCGGCUUAUCAGCUUGUUGGUGGGGGAGUGGCUUACCAAGGCUUUGACGGGUAGCCGGCCUGAGAGGGUGACCGGCCACAUUGGGACUGAGGUACGGCCCAGACUCCUACGGGAGGCAGCAGGGGGGAAUAUGGCACAGUGGGCGGAAGCCUGAUGCAGCAACGCCGCGUGCGGGAUGACGGCCUUCGGGUUGUAAACCGCUUUCGCCUGUGACGAAGCGUGAGUGACGGUAAUGGGUAAAGAAGCACCGGCUAACUACGUG
rnacentral:rRNA from 1 species